rnacentral:lncRNA from 1 species
GGUGCUGAAUAUCAGGAUACGGUCUUGGUCUCCAUCAUCCAUUCAUGUCUUGAAAUUGGCAGUUGAGGUAUCGUCUGACUGUGCCGGGUAUGGUGUGAUGUCUUGCAGGUUGUAAAGGUGGGCAUACUCUGGACUAGUCUUUCGGAGUCGUUGUCCUAGUCUCUGUUGCGUAGUUUGACUAAUUCGUCUGCAUAGAUUGUUGGUACUGGUGUGCUUUCAACAAGACAUCUUUGUUUCGUUCUUUUGAGUACUUGAUCAAAAUUGAGUUG